GUGCUUGCUCAGGCAGCACGUAUGAUAAAUUGGAAUCAAUACAGAGAAGAUUAGCAUGGCCCCUGCAAAAGGAUGACACGCAAAUCCAUGAAGAAUUUCCACAUUUU
ensembl:snRNA U6 U6 spliceosomal RNA